rnacentral:rRNA from 1 species
GUCUCAAAGAUUAAGCCAUGCAUGUCUAAGAAUAAACCGAAUAUGGUAAAUCCGCGAAUGGCUCAUUACAACAGCCUUAGUUUGUUGGAUCUAAAUCCACAGCAAUAACUGUGGAAAAGCCAGAGCUAACUCUGCAUUCAAGUCCCGACUUCGGAAGGGACGCAUUUGUUAGAACAAGACCAAUUGGCUUCGGCCAUCUAUUGGUGAAUCUGAGCAACUUAGCAGAUCGCAUGGGCUCGUCCCGGCGACAUAUCCUUCAAGUGUCUGCCUUAUCAACUGUCGAUGGUAGUUUAUUGGACUACCAUGGUUGUAACGGGUAACGGAGAAUUAGGGUUCGACUCCGGAGAGGGAGCCUGAGAUACGGCUACCACAUCCAAGGAAGGCAGCAGGCGCGCAAAUUACCCACUCUCAGUUCGAGGAGGUAGUGACGAAAAAUAACGAGACAGUCUUCUAUGAGGUCUGUCAUCGGAAUGGGUACAAUUUAAACCCUU